UUAAGUGACUAAGCGUACACGGUGGAUGCCUUGGCAGUCAGAGGCGAUGAAAGACGUAGUAACUUGCGAUAAGCCCAGAUUAGGUAGUAACAACCAUUUGAGUCGGGAUUUUCUGAUGGGAAACCCACGUGCAUCAAGACGUAUCCUUACCUGAAUACAUAGGGUAAAGGAGGCGAACCGGGGGAACAUGAAACAUCUAAGUACCCGAGGAAAAAAAUCAACCGAGAUUCCGAAAGUAAGCGGCGAGCGAAAUUUGGACCUAGCCCUUAAAGCUUUACACGCGUUUAGAGACGAACGUCCUUGGAAAGUCCGACGAUACAGGGGGAUAGUCCGUAAUUUUUUUUUUUUUUUUUUUGACGGACGUGUGUUCAGUGAAAUCGAGUAGGUCGGGACACGUGAAUCCUGUCUGAAUAUGGGGGACCAUCCUCCAAGGCUAAAUACUACUGACUGACCGAUAGUGAACCAGUACCGUGAGGGAAAGGCGAAAAGAACCCCUGUGAGGGGAGUGAAAUAGAACCUGAAACCGUGUACGUACAAGCAGUAGGAGCAGGCUUUGUCCUGUGACUGCGUACCUUUUGUAUAAUGGGUCAGCGACUUAUAUUCAGUGGCAAGGUUAACCAUCUAGGGGAGCCCGUAGGGAAACCGAGUCUUAACUGGGCGUUCAGUCUCUGGAUAUAGACCCGAAACCAGGUGAUCUAGCCAUGGGCAGGUUGAAGGUUGAGUAAACAUCAACUGGAGGACCGAACCGACUAAUGUUGAAAAAUUAGCGGAUGACUUGUGGCUAGGGGUGAAAGGCCAAUCAAACCUGGAGAUAGCUGGUUCUCCCCGAAAGCUAUUUAGGUAGCGCCUCGGACGAAUACUACUGGGGGUAGAGCACUGUUAAGGCUAGGGGGUCAUCCCGACUUACCAACCCUUUGCAAACUCCGAAUACCAGUAAGUACUAUCCGGGAGACACACGGCGGUGCUAACGUCCGUCGUGAGAGGGAAACAACCCAGACCGCCAGCUAAGGUCCCAAAAUUACACUAAGUGGGAAACGAUGUGGGAAGGCUCAGACAGCCAGGAUGUUGGCUUAGAAGCAGCCAUCAUUUAAAGAAAGCGUAAUAGCUCACCUGGCCCGAGUCGGCCUGCGCGGAAGAUGUAACGGGCUAAGUAGUAAACCGAAGCUGCGGCAAUGUGCUUUUGCACAUUGGGUAGGGGAGCGUUCUGUAAGCGGUUGAAGGUGUGUGGUAACGCAUGCUGGACGUAUCAGAAGUGCGAAUGCUGACAUGAGUAACGAUAAAGGGGGUGAAAAACCUCCUCGCCGGAAGACCAAGGGUUCCUGUCCAACGUUAAUCGGGGCAGGGUAAGUCGACCCCUAAGGCGAGGCCGAAAGGCGUAGUCGAUGGGAAACGGUUAAUAUUCCCGUACUUCUUACAAUUGCGAUGGGGGACGGAGAAGGCUAGGUGGGCCUGGCGACGGUUGUCCAGGUUCAAGUGCGUAGGCUUAAGAGUUAGGUAAAUCCGGCUCUUUUAAGGCUGAGACACGACGUCGAGCACUACGGAUGGUGAAGUCAUUGAUGCCAUGCUUCCAGGAAAAGCCUCUAAGCUUCAGAUUGUAAGGAAUCGUACCCCAAAACCGACACAGGUGGUCGGGUAGAGAAUACCAAGGCGCUUGAGAGAACUCGGGUGAAAGGAACUAGGCAAAAUGGUAACCGUAACUUCGGGAGAAGGUACGCUCUCGACGGUGAAGUCCCUCGCGGAUGGAGCUAUUGAGAGUCGCAGAUACCAGGUGGCUGCAACUGUUUAUUAAAAACACAGCACUGUGCAAAAUCGUAAGAUGACGUAUACGGUGUGACGCCUGCCCGGUGCCGGAAGGUUAAUUGAUGGGGUUAGACUUCGGUCGAAGCUCUUGAUCGAAGCCCCGGUAAACGGCGGCCGUAACUAUAACGGUCCUAAGGUAGCGAAAUUCCUUGUCGGGUAAGUUCCGACCUGCACGAAUGGCGUAAUGAUGGCCACGCUGUCUCCACCCGAGACUCAGUGAAAUUGAAAUCGCUGUGAAGAUGCAGUGUACCCGCGGCUAGACGGAAAGACCCCGUGAACCUUUACUACAGCUUGGCACUGAACAUUGACCCUACAUGUGUAGGAUAGGUGGGAGGCUUUGAAGCACGUACGCCAGUAUGUGUGGAGCCGUCCUUGAAAUACCACCCUUGUAGUGUUGAUGUUCUAACGUCGACCCCUUAUCGGGGUUGCGGACAGUGCCUGGUGGGUAGUUUGACUGGGGCGGUCUCCUCCCAAAGAGUAACGGAGGAGCACGAAGGUGGGCUAAUCACGGUUGGACAUCGUGAGGUUAGUGCAAUGGCAUAAGCCCGCUUGACUGCGAGAAUGACAAUUCGAGCAGGUGCGAAAGCAGGUCAUAGUGAUCCGGUGGUUCUGAAUGGAAGGGCCAUCGCUCAACGGAUAAAAGGUACUCCGGGGAUAACAGGCUGAUACCGCCCAAGAGUUCAUAUCGACGGCGGUGUUUGGCACCUCGAUGUCGGCUCAUCACAUCCUGGGGCUGAAGUCGGUCCCAAGGGUAUGGCUGUUCGCCAUUUAAAGUGGUACGCGAGCUGGGUUUAGAACGUCGUGAGACAGUUCGGUCCCUAUCUGCCGUGGGCGUUGGAAGAUUGAAGGGGGCUGCUCCUAGUACGAGAGGACCGGAGUGGACGAACCUCUGGUGUUCGGGUUGUGUCGCCAGACGCAUUGCCCGGUAGCUAAGUUCGGAAUCGAUAACCGCUGAAAGCAUCUAAGCGGGAAGCGAGCCCUGAGAUGAGUCUUCCCUGAUACUUUAAGUAUCCUAAAGGGUUGUCGGAGACUACGACGUUGAUAGGUCAGGUGUGUAAGUGCUGUGAGGCAUUGAGCUAACUGAUACUAAUUGCCCGUGAGGCUUAACCAU
rnacentral:rRNA from 1 species